GAGUACAGCCAUGCCACCCUGAACAAGCCCAAUCCCAACUGAUCUUGGAAGUGAGGCAGGGUCGGGCCUGGUUAGUAGUUGGAUGGGAGACCACCUAGGAAGACCAGGUGCUGUAGGCG
rnacentral:rRNA from 1 species